rnacentral:lncRNA from 1 species
AUUAAAAAAAUUAAAGUUAAUUAUUUUAGUUACUAUAUUCAAAAGACUUUAUGGUCCAAAAAAAGGUAAUGUUGUCUAUUACUAAAAACUUAGGGUUUAUGUAACUAUUUUUCCAACUCUCAAAGGGGGUAGAUAUCUUUUCCACCUUUUUUUUAGUGGAAAACAAUUUCUAUGCAACUGCCCAAGUGAAAUCGAUGUAGCCAUUGAUUUGGCUUUUGUGUGACAACCUUGCCAUUAACAUUGAUUAAGAUCAAAGUAUUCUUAAAUGUAUUUUAAGAGUUCUAUUUUAAAUGAUGUGCCAUUUAUUUAUUAUAUGAAAAAAUUAUAAUUUAUAAAAUUAUUUUGAAUGCUAUUAGGGCGCAUGUAGCAUUGCAUAGCAUUACUUCGUGGGCCCAACAUUGAUUGAAAUAAACCUAUAUUUAGCAUUUGAAAUGAAAUGCAUUGUACAACAUUAGCUAAAGCCUUAAUGUAGCUUUUGCCGCAUUAUCAAAACUCGUGCCCCCUCAAGUAUAAGCAAUAUUGCUAACAUUUAAAACAAAAAUUAUUUAAUCAAUUAAAUCAUAUCUAAUUUAUUUAUUAUUAGUGUAAAAUAUAAUAAAUUUGAAUGGAAAAAUACUGACUACCAUCAACCAGUACAAUUCAUCGUUGGCGAUAUUAUUUUGGCAUCUUAAGACAUUAAAAUUGGUGUCAAUAGAAUCCUUAUCACUAGAACUAUGCAAUGGUAUAUGUAAUACUAGAAACGGAGCUUCUGUAGGAAACUCCUUCACUGAUGAGACAUAUACCAUUGUUUAGAUCCAGUGAUGAAGAUUCUAAUGGUAACAAAAUUGACGUCAAAAGAUACUGGAAUAUGAAUGCCAGCGACAGUUUACGGUGGCCAAUGAUGGCUGACGGUAGUAAUUUUAUUUUUAUUU